GACGAACGCUGGCGGCGUGCCUAAUACAUGCAAGUCGAGCGGAUCUCUUCGGAGAUCAGCGGCGGACGGGUGAGUAACACGUGGGCAACCCGCCUGUAAGACUGGGAUAACUCCGGGAAACCGGGGCUAAUACCGGAUAACCCUUCGGACCUCAUGGUCCGGAGCUGGAAGACGGUUAUGCUGUCACUUACAGAUGGGCCCGCGGCGCAUUAGCUAGUUGGUGAGGUAACGGCUCACCAAGGCGACGAUGCGUAGCCGACCUGAGAGGGUGAUCGGCCACACUGGGACUGAGACACGGCCCAGACUCCUACGGGAGGCAGCAGUAGGGAAUCUUCCGCAAUGGACGAAAGUCUGACGGAGCAACGCCGCGUGAGUGAAGAAGGUUUUCGGAUCGUAAAACUCUGUUGUUAGGGAAGAACAAGUACGAGAGUAACUGCUCGUACCUUGACGGUACCUAACCAGAAAGCCACGGCUAACUACGUGCCAGCCGCCGCAGUAACAC
rnacentral:rRNA from 1 species